GAAAUGCGAUAAGUAGUGUGAAUUGCAGAAUUCAGUGAAUCAUCGAAUCUUUGAACGCACAUUGCGCCCGCUAGUAUUCUGGCGGGCAUGCCUGUUCGAGCGUCAUUUCAACCCUCAAGCCCCCGGGCUUGGUGUUGGGGAUCGGCCGUCUUCUGGCGGCCGUCCCCGAAAUCUAGUGGCGGUCUCGCUGUAGCCUCCUCUGCGUAGUAGCACACCUCGCACCGGAACGCAGCUUGGCCACGCCGUUAAACCCCCCACUUCUGAAGGUUGACCUCGGAUCAGGUAGGAAUACCCGCUGAACUUAA
rnacentral:misc_RNA from 1 species